CUACGGAGGGUCCGAGCGUUAUCCGGAAUUAUUGGGUUUAAAGGGUCCGUAGGCGGGCCAUUAAGUCAGGGGUGAAAGUCUGCGGCUCAACCGUAGAAUUGCCUUUGAUACUGAUGGUCUCGAGUUAUAGUGAAGUUGGCGGAAUAUGUAGUGUAGCGGUGAAAUGCAUAGAUAUUACAUAGAACACCGAUUGCGAAGGCAGCUGACUAACUAUAUACUGACGCUGAGGGACGAAAGCGUGGGGAGCGAACAGGAUUAGAAACCCUAGUAGUCC
rnacentral:rRNA from 1 species